CACAGGGCCGGAGCACAGCCGGGCUGCAGAGGAGGCGGCCAUGAGCAUCCCGUGCCGAAGCGAAGCGCUCCAGAAGGAUGCGCCUUUGCUAGGUUUCCUGCAGGAAGAAGUUAACAGUCAAUGGAGAGGAAGAUUUGUGUUCCCGGCAACCAAAAUAGACCGCUACACCAAUGGAGCCACUCCCUGUCUCCCAUUGGCCACCAACUGCAGGAUGGAGUCUCCACAGGUCUUCCUCUUUGUGUGUGGAGUGUUGAGACAGACGCAUCUUCUCCAGAGCAAACCAACUGCUGACCUGUAUGUAGCUGGACUGUGGUUUCACCGGGUAGGGAGUAAAGAAGAGUUGCCUCUUUUCUGAAGGACGAUAAGUUUCAUGCCAACAAGAGAUUUGUCACAGGUUGUGUUAUAGGAUAGAGGGUUAGAAACUAGGUGAUGUUUGUGUUAUUCCCAUAGCAGGAUAUAUGUUCUGUAUCAUUUAUUCUUAAAAUCAAAGUUAUAUGUGUCUGAAGUUUAAAGAUUCAGAUAGUUGAACAAGGUUUGGUCUCAAAAAGAACUGUUCUCCCAUCCUCCACUUCUCACCCCUGAUCCCCUGAGGUCAUUACUUUCAAGCCUUUGAGCUGGUUCCUUUGAUAUUGACCUCACUCUCUCCAAAUACCAUGAGCAUAUUGCUACCUCUUGAUCAUUUAAUGCUAGGCAUUCUGUUCACUUCCCUGCAAUGAAGGUGAGGAUAGAGUUCUCCAUCCCCAAUUCCUGUCCCCUCACCAUUCCAUUGCAGUCAGAUCUUAACUUGACGACAAUAUUCAGUGACCAUGUUUUAUGGGCAAACACCAUUUAUAGCUGAGCCAGGUAAGACGCUAUGGUUCCUUUUCCUUUCCUGCAUAUUAUUUUAUUUUUCUGGGCAUUAAUAAUUAUGGAUUUUUUCUUUGCUUUGUUUUCUGUGUAUUUAUUUUAAUUAACCCCAGACUCUCCCCAUUUAUGCAAAUCUCCCCUCAAUACAUUCAAAAGCAUAAAUUGUUC
rnacentral:lncRNA from 1 species